rnacentral:lncRNA from 1 species
AGAGAAGUGGCCUCAGAACAUGGAAGCGGGGCGCUGAUUAACCAGGUGCCUCAGCUUCCUGACUACAUAGGACACAGACGUGAGGGCCAACAAAGCUAAGGGAGACUUUGGACACACUGACCUCUAGCUAACACACCCCACAGCCGCCCACGCCUGUCCUCCACACCAACUGUGACACAGGAGGACAGUCAAGAGGACAAGGAACAUCCUCUCCUCCCAAACCUUGAUUCCUAGUGAGGACACAGAAACCUCAAGUUCCAGUCUUGACUGGUAGUGAGCAGACAGCCCAGGAUCGUCUAGUGUUCCCAUUGAAGACUGGGCAGAGGAGAUCGGAGACAGGAGACAUGGCAAGCCACAGCGGAGGGCAGAGACGGGCUGAGCACUUGCCCUUUGCCCCCGUCUCCAUGGUCAUCUAGUCAACACAUUCUGGCCCUUCAUAUCUCAUCUACAAUAGAACUACCAGAUACAUCUCUGCUGCAACUGGAGACCUGGCCCCGUUCAAGGAGGAUCUGGGGUCUCCAGAAGAGCCCACCCAGUGAGGCUACAAAUUGCUAUCAAUGUUUAUGGGAUAAUGGAGAGGCAGACCAGGAAAAAAAACUCAAAAUGUCGUUAAUGAACUUGAAAAAGGAGGAGGGUGAGGACAAAGGUGAGCUGUGGGGGGCCACUAGUUUUGACACAAGUUCUGGCUUUUUCUACCUAUGUGACCAGGGAAAGUAGCCAACCCUUCUGGGAUGCUGUACAGCCUGAGCAUCCAGUGUAGUAAGGGGCGACUGUCCAUGGACAUCUGAUGCAUGAGAUAAGACCAGAAUCUGUCAAGCUUCUGCUUGCCCCCUCCCUCCCGGCUCUUAACAGCCAGUGGAAAAGGCUCCUUCUGGCUGCUGAAUUGCAACUGAGCCUAUGUAACAAAGAGGUGCUUCCCAGGAUGCCAGGAAAUUGCAGGAAAAAUGGUCUCUCCACCUUUGGAAAGAGUUCAUCUGGCCCUGCUGCUGCCUUCCUUCUAGAGGCCAAGCUCUUGUUAGAGACACUGCAAUUUAUUCCCUUGCUGAGGACUAUGAUGCAGGAAAUGGAGAAGGAGAAGGACUCUGAGCAUUUGGUUGGCUGCUGGGACAGGUGAGCUUCUGAGAUGGUGAUCUCAUUUGUCUUGCAAAUACCACGCACACACUACCCAGAAGAGGGGCUGGGAGACAAGCCACCAAGCCUCGGUGACUGCAGAUGGAAUUGUUUCUAAACAGAAUGUUUUUCAAAGCUUCUCUUGAAGCAUUAGCUGUGCCUGCAAAAUGAAUGACACAAUGUAUUUCGUACAAGUAAUAAAAUAUGUGAUUUGAAUAACUACAAAUGAAAA